rnacentral:rRNA from 1 species
CCUACGGGUGGCAGCAGUGGGGAAUAUUGGACAAUGGGCGAAAGCCUGAUCCAGCCAUGCCGCGUGUGUGAAGAAGGCCUUCGGGUUGUAAAGCACUUUCAGUGGGGAAGAAAGCCUUGGGGCUAAUACCCUCGAGGAAGGACAUCACCCACAGAAGAAGCACCGGCUAACUCCGUGCCAGCAGCCGCGGUAAUACGGAGGGUGCGAGCGUUAAUCGGAAUUACUGGGCGUAAAGCGCGCGUAGGCGGUCUGAUAAGCCGGUUGUGAAAGCCCCGGGCUCAACCUGGGAACGGCAUCCGGAACUGUCAGGCUAGAGUGCAGGAGAGGAAGGUAGAAUUCCCGGUGUAGCGGUGAAAUGCGUAGAGAUCGGGAGGAAUUCCAGUGGCGAAGGCGGCCUUCUGGACUGACACUGACGCUGAGGUGCGAAAGCGUGGGUAGCAAACAGGAUUAGAUACCCUAGUAGUC